CCUCAUAAGGCAUGUAGAAAGUUCCAUGAUAAGUAGAAUUUGAAUUGUUCUUAUAUAAUUUAUAGUUUUCUAUUGAGUUUUACCUACGAUGAAAAGUGCUUAGCUUUGGUCAGGUAAGAUGGUUUAAUCUUCUAUAUAGUUCUGGUAUUACUUCGUUUUGUUGCAUUUUCUUUGUUACCUGUUGGACCAAAUUGACAGAUGCUGUGAUACAUAUUCAUCUGGGAUUUCGGUUGAGUAGCUUGAAUCUUGUAUCUUCUGAUUAAAUUGCAAAUGGAUCUUGUAAAAAUGGUGGAAGAGGAUUUUACAUGUUGAUUUACUAGUUUGUUUACUAACAAUCUGUUUGGAACUCAAAGUCUUCAUUGUGUGUUAGCUUGCUCAGAUCCUUUGUUAACUUGAGUUUGCAGUUGUUUAUCAUGUUCCAUGUAUCUUCUUUUCUUGGUGCUCCAGUUUAUGAUCAUCAGUGGCAUUCAUAGAAAUCAAUAUAUGUUUUUGUUAGUUCGUUCUUAUUAACUAUUUUUAGUUGGCAUGUUCAAAGGGAAAUUUCAGGAAUACUCUGGUCAAAUUGCGGUGGAUAAAUAGCCACUAUUCUGGGGAUCAAUAAGAUGCAGGAUUUGAAGGAAUUCUUCAGAUCCUAUGUAUUCAUCAAAUCAUGUGGAUAUAUUUGUUCAGCAUUUCUAACCGAGUAGGUUUUCAGAAUGUUGCACUCAGCAACUUCCAACAUACAAGGAACACAAGAAUCAAGGAUUUUUAUCCCAAUCUCUUGGUAGAAAGCACACAUCCUGAGAUGAAUCAUCUCUGGAGUUUUCUACAGACGAUUUGUUCCAGCUAAAAGGCAGUGUACCAACACUUGGAUAUUUUGUUUCUCAAUUGCUCAAUUUUUUGAUGCAUCGAGUAUUCCUAGUUUGUCAUGUAUUUUGUAUGACUUUCUUUUCAAAAUAACAGCUUAUAUAAUGAUUCGCAUACCACACACGAAACACCUCUCUGCUUCAUCUAAAUCCUUGAACAAUAUAUUCUCAGACUCUUUUUGUUCAAUAAUAGGUGCUAGAUAUAUAUAAAAAAAAUUAGUUUAUCAUCUUCCUUGACCUUUUAGUGUAGUUUUUGUUUGUGAACUUGAAGUAUAUAAAAAUGCACUUAACAUUAUCUUUGUUAUUUUCUUGACUAUUCAUUGAUUUGUUCAGGUUGUCUGGCAGAAGUGAGUUAGAUAUCAGCUACAGUUUCUCAUGCAAAGGUGUACCAGGAUGCCGGACAGACGUUUCCAAGUUUCUGAUGAAGUUUAAAUCGACCGACUAAUUUUGUAAACUUAUGAGCUUUCUGUCAUUUCUUUUGUUAUAGCCUUUUCCGCUACCUAGCUGCAGGAUCUUAUCAUAGCGUGAGAUCGACCUGGUGAUGCCU